AGGGCUGUAGCUCAGGGGCAGAGCACAUGUGUUGCAUUAUGAGGCCCUGGGUUCAAUCCCCAGCACCCCCU
rnacentral:tRNA from 1 species